rnacentral:rRNA from 1 species
CUCCUACGGGAGGCAGCAGUCGGGAAUUUUGGGCAAUGGGCGAAAGCCUGACCCAGCAACGCCGCGUGAAGGAUGAAAUCCCUCGGGAUGUAAACUUCGCAAGAACGGGAAGAAUAAGUAGGGGACAAUACCCCCUAUGAUGACGGUACCGUUUGUAAGCUCCGGCUAACUCCGUGCCAGCAGCCGCGGUAA